rnacentral:rRNA from 1 species
ACAGCAGUAGCCGGCGGUAAUACGAAGGGUGCAAGCGUUACUCGGAAUUACUGGGCGUAAAGCGUGCGUAGGUGGUGGUUUAAGUCCGUUGUGAAAGCCCUGGGCUCAACCUGGGAAUUGCAGUGGAUACUGGGUCACUAGAGUGUGGUAGAGGAUAGUGGAAUUUCCGGUGUAGCAGUGAAAUGCGUAGAGAUCGGAAGGAACAUCUGUGGCGAAGGCGACUAUCUGGGCCAACACUGACACUGAGGCACGAAAGCGUGGGGAGCAAACAGGAUUAGAUACCCGCGUAGUCCCUGUCUCUUAUA